rnacentral:rRNA from 1 species
UUGUGAUAGGGAAGGUAGUGACAUGGACUGUCAGAGGUGAUUUCUUCAGUGGGACACAUCGGGAGGUAGUGACCCGCCUGUUUCCAGCUCCAAUUCUUAGAUGUAAAAUUGUUGCAGUUAAAAAGCUCGUAGUUGAAUUUCUGCUGUAUUGCAUUUUCUCUUUUUAUAUGAGUUUUUGCAUUAUGGCUUAUUUCAGUAUUAAUUUUUUAUUAUUACUGGAUGUCUACUUUGAGAAAAUUAGAGUGCUCAAAGCAGGCUUUUGCCUUGAAUAGUUUAGCAUGGAAAAAUAAAGUAGGACUUUGGUUCUAUUUUGUUGGUUUUAGGUACCAAAGUAAUGGUUAAUAGGACCAGUUGGGGGCAUUCGUAUUUAACUGUCAGAAAGUGAAAUUCUUAGAA